rnacentral:rRNA from 1 species
UAGCAUAUCAAUAAGCGGAGGAAAAGAAACUAACAAGGAUUCCCCUAGUAACUGCGAGUGAAGCGGGAAAAGCUCAAAUUUAAAAUCUGGCGGUCUUUGGCCGUCCGAGUUGUAGUCUGGAGAAGUGCUUUCCGCGCUGGACCGUGUAUAAGUCUCUUGGAACAGAGCGUCAUAGAGGGUGAGAAUCCCGUCUUUGACACGGACUACCAGUGCUUUGUGAUGCGCUCUCAAAGAGUCGCGUUGUUUGGGAAUGCAGCGCAAAAUGGGUGGUGAAUUCCAUCUAAAGCUAAAUAUUGGCGAGAGACCGAUAGCGAACAAGUACCGUGAGGGAAAGAUGAAAAGCACUUUGGAAAGAGAGUUAAACAGUACGUGAAAUUGCUGAAAGGGAAACGCUUGAAGUCAGUCGCGUUGUCCGGGACUCAGCCUUGCUUCGGCUUGGUGCACUUUCCGGAUGACGGGCCAGCAUCGAUUUUGACCGCUGGAAAAGGGCUGGAGGAAUGUGGCACCUUCGGGUGUGUUAUAGCCUCCAGUCGCAUACGGCGGUUGGGAUCGAGGAACGCAGCACGCCUUACGGCGGGGGUUCGCCCACCUUCGUGCUUAGGAUGCUGGCAUAAUGGCUUUAAACGACCCGUCUUGAAACACGGACCAAGGAGUCUAACAUGCCUGCGAGUGUUUGGGUGGAAAACCCGAGCGCGUAAUGAAAGUGAAAGUCGGGACCUCUGUCGUGGAGGGCACCGACGCCCGGACCUGACGUUCUCUGACGGAUCCGCGGUAGAGCAUGUAUGUUGGGACCCGAAAGAUGGUGAACUAUGCCUGAAUAGGGUGAAGCCAGAGGAAACUCUGGUGGAGGCUCGUAGCGAUUCUGACGUGCAAAUCGAUCGUCAAAUUUGGGUAUAGGGGCGAAAGACUAAUCGAACCAUCUAGUAGCUGGUUCCUGCCGAGCU